rnacentral:rRNA from 1 species
UACGGAGGGUGCAAGCGUUGCUCGGAAUUAUUGGGCGUAAAGGGUAGGUAGGUGGUCUCAUUUGUCUGGGGUGAAAGCCUUGAGCUUAACUCAAGAAGUGCCCCAGAAACGGUGAGACUCGAGUACUGGAGAGGGUCGUGGAAUUCCCGGUGUAGCGGUGAAAUGCGUAGAGAUCGGGAGGAACACCAGAGGCGAAGGCGGCGACCUGGACAGUAACUGACACUCAACUACGAAAGCGUGGGGAGCAAACAGG